GCCCUCAUGUAAACUCGAAUGCUGGAAAGGGUCUUCACUGUCACUUCACUGACAGAAGCUGCCCAGGAGAGCUGUGGCGUGAGUAACCUAUGUGAGUAAAUAAGUUCACCACCGAAUUUGUCUGCAGCUUCUUUCUGCUGCGAGGGUGUGGAGGCAGCGUCCAACAAUAUUUUAUCAUGGGCAAACCAGCAGUGAAAAGCAGGAAGAGAAUACUGCUGUCUCCAGGCCAUUAAUGAAAUUGACAGACACGCCAUGGACAAUAUAUGAAGGAGGAAAACCAAAGCUUUAUUUCCAGUGACCUGCUGCAUUUAGAACAACUAUCCAAUCUCUAUUAUGACCAUUAGGACAGCCAGAAACAGAAGAAGAGCUACAAGGAAAUAUGUCACAAAAGUCAGAAACCAAAUUUCUCUUGCUGGACAAAAGGCUCCAAAAGAUCAGAAAGGUUCAUCUAUAAAGACACAUCACAGGAUGACUUUGAAUCUGCUGGCAAAAUUGAGCAGUAUCAUCAAAAAGCCCUGCUCAUAGAGCAUUAUAUUUAAAGCCAUCAUUUCAGAAUUCAACCAGCAACUACCUAAAAUGAGAAUUUCUACAAAGCUCUCAGAUGAAAUAAUGAAAACUGAACAAUGGCAGCCUAAAGCUGCUAUGAUGAAUCAAGCAAGGAAAAAAAAACCCAUAUAACUAUGUGUACUACACCAUCAGAUAAUACACAUGAAAACUCAAAGCACUGAGUGACUUAAAUAAAUGCCCUGAUGCUGGGUGCAAGGCAAGACCAGAGGAGUUAAUUGAAGGAAAAAACACUGAAUGCCACAAACUCCAUAGGAAGUGUCUGAGCCACAGCUGGUGGCAAGCUGGGGUUACUACCAAGGGCAACCCCAUAAAAGGCUCACUCUCAUUCUACCUCCCUUCAGAGGCAUCAACCUUUUGGCCAUCCUCAGAAGCAGCAUACUUGGCAAGCUGUUCCAAUGCCUGGAGAGCAUCAUGUAAAAGGCUCAUGGUCCUCUUGAGGACACUGUGUCAGUUAGCUUCAGGUUUCCUAGAACAGCUCAGAGACCUCAAGAAAACAAAACAAAAAAAAUAUACAGAAAGGUAAUCCAAACUUACAACCUUUAGACUUUUCUCCCAGAUACCUGCAAGUCAGUAAUUUUUAGUAAGUGGUAACACUGACAUAAUUCAGUUUUUCUCUUCUGUGUGUAAAUUCACUUCAGUGUGACAGGCUGUAUUCAAAGGACAGCUUAAUUAUAAUGAAGAAUAAUAGGCAAUCACAGUACCUUUUCUUUAGAGAACACCUCUGAUUAGGUAUCAUCGGGACACAUGAAAACAACAGUGAAAGAAAUGCACAAUUUACCUUUAGUUAGCUAAACCUGUAAAUAAGAGCAGUGAAAAUCUUAAUUGCUAUAAUUUAAAUCCUGAUUGAAGCUCAUAUGUCAACUAAAAUGAUAGAUUUAAGAAGAAAAGCAGUUACUGCUUUGGUUGAUGUUACACAAGCAGCUACCUCCGGACAUUUGGAGUCAUGAGAGGUGAUAGCUCAGGCUAGCAAGUCAAGUAAAAUCGCUUAGUUGUUAUGCAAGGUAGGAGACAAGGGGUGAGAAAGAAGGCAGGCAAAAAAGGGUGUGUUCCUUAGGAGUUAUUUUAACCCCUAGAGCAAUGAAAAGUACAGAACAAAUGAACAGUAAAGCCUCUAGUCAUGUUCGUAAUUAUAACUAAGGUGCAAUGCAAAUUCUAGGUAUCCCAAUAUUUAAAUCCAACAACGAAACAUAUUUUUGCUGGCUGUAAGUUACUCUAAUUAAUGGUACCAAUUCAGUGUUACAUUUACAUGGACAAAUCCCUUCUUCAAUUAGAGCAGCUAGCAGACAAGCUGAAGUGUUUCUUAGUUCAGAACUCCCAAGCACCUGAUUCAAAUGAAUAUUUAUAGCACUCAGCUCUCCACUAUUCUAGCAGAGUUAUUAGGGAGAAGCACAA